CAAUAGCGUAUAUUUAAGUUGCUGCAGUUAAAAAGCUCGUAGUUGGAUUUCGGGUGGGAAUGGCCGGUCCGCCGUUUCGGUGUGCACUUGCUACGCCCACCUUGCUGCCGGGGACGUGCUCUUGAGUUCACGCUCGGGACACGGAGUCGGCGAGGUUACUUUGAGUAAAUUAGAGUGUUCAAAGCAGGCCUACGCUCUGAAUACAUUAGCAUGGAAUAACACGAUAGGACUCUGGCCUAUCUUGUUGGUCUGUAGGACCGGAGUAAUGAUUAAGAGGGACAGUCGGGGGCAUUCGUAUUUCAUUGUCAGAGGUGAAAUUCUUGGAUUUAUGUAAGACGAACUACUGCGAAAGCAUUUGCCAAGGAUGUUUUCAUUAA
rnacentral:rRNA from 1 species